rnacentral:rRNA from 1 species
AGUGAACGCUGGCGGUAGGCCUAACACAUGCAAGUCGAACGGCAGCACAGUAAGAGCUUGCUCUUACGGGUGGCGAGUGGCGGACGGGUGGGGAAUACAUCGGAAUCUACUUUUUCGUGGGGGAUAACGUAGGGAAACUUACGCUAAUACCGCAUACGACCUACGGGUGAAAGCAGGGGAUCUUCGGACCUUGCGCGAUUGAAUGAGCCGAUGUCGGAUUAGCUAGUUGGCGGGGUAAAGGCCCACCAAGGCGACGAUCCGUAGCUGGUCUGAGAGGUUGAUCAGCCACACUGGAACUGAGACACGGUCCAGACUCCUACGGGAGGCAGCAGUGGGGAAUAUUGGACAAUGGGCGCAAGCCUGAUCCAGCCAUACCGCGUGGGUGAAGAAGGCCUUCGGGUUGUAAAGCCCUUUUGUUGGGAAAGAAAAGCAGCAGGUUAAUACCCCGCUGUUCUGACGGUACCCAAAGAAUAAGCACCGGCUAACUUCGUG